rnacentral:misc_RNA from 1 species
UUGCGAAGCGAACGAAAAACAACAACAGCGAAUUCCACCCCUCGUGCUGUUUCGUCGCUCCCUCGCUCCCUCCCUCUUCUCUGCAUGAGACGCUGACGUGCAGGGCCUGCAACGUUCGCGCCAUCAGCCUUGCACAGAGAGGCAUACACUCACAUGGAUACGAUAGGGUUUGUAAACGGGCAACCGAAGCAAACAACAACAUAAGUAGUCGGUCUCGAGAGAGAGAGAGAGCGCACAUACGCACACGCACACGAGCAUAUACGCAGAGAACCUGGCUUCAGCUUCUCUGCUUUCUCAUUUUCUGUUCUCUCUUCGUGAACAUUUUCGAGGUCGAAAACACAAGAUGUCUCAGCAGGAAGGCACUUCGCCAACGGAUCGCGAGAGCACCAUGCAGAUUCUGAACAUGUUCCCCGGACACCUCCACUUGCUGCCGCAGACGCCGCAGCUUCACUUCCUCUUCACUGUCAUCCGCGACGUGGAAACUCAGCGCACGGACUUCAUCUUUUACUCAGAGCGCAUCAUACGCCUCAUCCUUGAGGCGGCGCUGUGCUUGAUCCCUGUGAAGCCGUUUAAUGUCAUCACACCAGUAGGUGCUGUGUACAGGGGCGUUCGGCCGGACGACCGCGGCAUCAUCGGCGUUUCCAUCAUGCGAGCUGGCGAGUCGAUGGAGCGCGUGCUGCGUGAGAUGUGCCCCGGUGUCCGCAUCGGCAAGAUCCUCGUCCAACGCGACGAGACGAGCACCGACAAGACUCCCGAUGCACGCUUCACCUAUAGCAAGUUGCCCACAGACGUAGCCUCGCGCCGCGUGCUGCUGCUGGACCCGAUGUGCGCGACCGGCGGCAGCGUCAUCAAGGCGACGGAGAUCCUGAUCAACGAGUACGGCGUGCUCGAGGAAAACAUCAUCUUCUUGAAUCUCAUCUCCGCCCCCGCAGGAAUCAGGAAAUAUCUCGCUCGGUUCCCCAAAAUCCAGAUUGUGACCGCCGCCAUCGACGACGACUUGGACGAGAACAGGUACAUCCUGCCCGGCCUCGGUGACUUUGGCGACCGCUAUUUCGGCACGAUAUCGGAGUGAACGCAAACAAACCGUUGCGCUCACAAGGGAAAAAUAGAAGAAAACGUGGAUGCCCAAUGAGGACGGCAGGAUGUGGGGAAAGGCGAGGCAUACACGGAGGAGGGGGAGGUGUCGCGUCACAGCGGUGGUGCCGCUCGUCGCCCCUCCCCCUUUUUUCAUUCUCUUCAGUCGUUUCUUCGCUCUCCUUCGCUCGUGCAGCGGUCGGAGCUCUCCCCCCAUUUCCGCUGCGCAUGACUUGCUAUAUACAAGCAGAGCAUAUACAAUGUCGACAGGUGUGUUGCCGUUUUCUCAUUUUCCCUCGACCAUCGUGUACGACAGCUCCCCUCUUCCCCGAAUCCUGGUGUCUGUUGUGAUAGCAGCCGCGGCUACAAGGCCGGCAUCUCCACUAACAGCAUCAUCUCUAAUGUCGACGGAAAAGAAAACGAGAAACAGGAAUAAGGUAAUUCACGCAUACCCGCACAGAGAGAGAGAGAAGAGCGGACGAGGGUUUCGCCAUGGCUUUGUUUCACAUUCACCAUGUUUUUUUUUUUUUCACUUCUUCGCCCCUAAUAAUAGAGCUGCGUGCUCCAUCGCAAUCUUUGCAUUCCCAUGUGCAUGCACCCUGCUUAGAACCUGCCGUUACUGUGGUGACGAUGUCGACGUGCAUAUAUGUGCAUGUAAGCGUGUCUACAUGUGCGACUGAGCGUGUCUGUGUUCGCAGUGUGCGUGCUUGGUCUUCGAAUUUGAUCCGCCAAAGGACGGAGCGGGAUUGAUGUAGGCUGGGAAAAGGUGUAUCAGGAGCCGUGUGACGGCGUGAGCUGGCGUAUUCUAGUGUCUUCGAGAGAGUCUCUCUCUGUCUGCACAACUCUGUGCUCCUGUGUGCCACUCCUUUGGCCACACUGCCCCAAACUCUUUUCCUCCCCCAUCACGCGUCUUCCUCCUGUCAUUCUCCUUGUCAUCGGGACUUACGAGGCCGUCGGAACUGCAUGCGCAUGCGAGCAGAGCAUAGUACGCACGCACGUGCCCACAAGCACUCGUACUAAAAUCUACUGAUAAACGUGGUCUUUCAGCGUCAGUACAGCAGCUCUUAAAUCGAAACAGAAUGAGUGUUCGCGCGGUCCGUUUCACGCUACACUGAUCACUCUUUUCUCCUGGGAGCGCGCAGCUAUGUAGGCCAUACUGCACCUCUUUGUUCUGUUCAAGAUUAUGAGGCACUCGGAGAAGAGUAGGAG